rnacentral:rRNA from 1 species
GACGAACGCUGGCGGCGUGCUUAACACAUGCAAGUCGAACGAUGAACCGUUUUUCGCCGGGCAUUCGUGGCGGACGCGUGUGUAACACGUGCGCAAUCUGCCCUGCACUCUCUGAUAAGCCCGGGUAACUCGGUCUAAUACCGGAUACGACACUCCGAGGCCUCCCGGGGUGUGGCAAGUUCCGGCUGUGCAGGAUGAGCAGGCGGCCUAUUAGCAUGUUGGUGGGGUAAUGGCCUACCAAGGCGACGACGGGUAGCCGGCCUGAGGGGGUGACCGGCCACACUGGGACUGAGACACGGCGCAGAAGACUACGGGAGGAAGCAGUGGGGAAUAAUGCACAAUGGGCGAAAGCCGGAUGCAGCGACGACGCGGGAGGGAGGACGGACGUCGGGGUGUAAACCUCUUUCAGCAGGGAAGAAGCGAAAGUGACGGUACCUGCAGAAGAAGCACCGGCUAACUACGUG